rnacentral:lncRNA from 1 species
UUGAGUUAAGACGAGGAUAAACUUAAUGAAUCCAUACUGUGAGCGGAUAGGGAAUCUGAUAAAAAAGCUGGCGAUAUUUUGUGCCUGACUCAACAUAUUUUUCACUGGAAGAAUUGAACACGCUUUGGCAACAAUAAGGUUUAAACGAUGACUGGAGUAAUGAACAUGCAACGCCUUCGGGUUUUUUCUAAUAUUCUCUCGAAGAUGUGUAGAGAUUUAACUGCAAUAUUUCCUACAGCGGUCUACUUCAUGCAGUCACCCAUGACGACUUUUCCCGGAGAAUAAAGAAAG